rnacentral:lncRNA from 1 species
AAGAACAAGCUUCAGUUCCAUUUAUAAUUUUUGUUUGAAGAUGGAGGAUGCGCUCAAACGUGCUGGGGAGGUAGACAAAAUCGAAGAAGACAACGCCCUUCAAAUAAAAAACCUGAAUGCGGUACAUUUUAACUGAGUUAAUGUUUUCUAAGUGAUAUAUUAUGUUAUUUUGGUAAGUAACCUGAUCAGUUGAUAGCAUAGAGUGUUUGCAACUUAAAUAUUUUAUUUGUUCCAAGUAGCUAAUAAUGUCUCCAAUGAAUACAGGUGAUAAUCGUGUUGCACAAGUAGGGGAAGCAAACCGGUUAAUAUCAGCUAUUUCAUAGAUUUCUCAUAAAUCUUUUUGCCUCUAAGUACCAGACCAUAUACGGUCAA